rnacentral:rRNA from 1 species
GGUCAAGCUACAAAGGGCGCAUGGCGAAUGCCUUGGCACUAGGAGCCGAAGAAGGACGCGUUAAGCUGCGAUAAGCUUUGGGUAGGCGCAAAUAGCCUGUGAUCCAAAGAUUUCCGAAUGGGGGAACCCACAUAGUAACAACUAUGUACUGCAUACUGAAUAAAUAGGUAUGCAGAGGUACACCCGGGGAACUGAAACAUCUAAGUACCCGGAGGAAGAGAAAGAAAUAUCGAUUUCCUAAGUAGCGGCGAGCGAAAGGGAAUGAGCCCAAACCUAAGUCUUUGACUUAGGGGUUGAGGAUAGAUCAUAAAUACUGCAAUUCUUUAAUUGAAGAUAGCUGGAAAGCUGCUCCGCAGAAGGUAAUAGGCCUGUAAAUGAAAAGGAAGAACAGUCAGAUCUAAUCCAG